rfam:Oryza brachyantha chromosome 1, whole genome shotgun sequence.
AAUAAUCUUAUUUUUCGUUUUUCUGUAUCCAGCGUUGACCAUCCGUCUUAUUUGAAAAAUUUGUGAAAAACCUAAAAAAUUAAUCACGUAUAAAGUACUAUUCAUAUUUAUCAUCUAGUAAUAAUAAAAAUAUUAAUCGUAAAAAAGUUUCAAAUAAGACGAAUGAUCAAACGUUAGACACGGAAAAACA